rnacentral:lncRNA from 1 species
CCGCCAGCCGCGGGGCGGCCCUGCGCGCGCGCUCCGCCGUUAACGGUCGCUGCCGCGCGGCGCGGGCCUGCGAGGCCCAGGGGCUCUCCGGCGUCCUUUCGCCUUGUGCUCCGCUCAGAGCGCCUUUGUUGGGGCUAGGGGGAAGGAGCCUCCGCUAAAGCACAAGCGAGCGCUUCCAGCCUGCCUCAAGUGCGUCUCCUGCCCUCUGCCCCAGCAGGCGUGCUCGCAGCAGGCUGUGAAGCCCGGCCUGGCUGUAGCACGCUGCCCCUUUGCUGCGGAAAAGCUUAGCGUCUUGCAGCUAUGUGGGGUGCCAUCAGAUGAUUCACCUUCAAGUAGCAUCAGUAAAAAUUCUCUUGGAUGGUUUCAAAGCUGGAUUAGCUUUUGGAUUUCACUUCUGGUGUUCUGUGUAUGCUACCACUACAGAAUUCCUAUUACAGCACCUUUUCUUCAUGUCACUCCCAAAACAUAGACAUUAUAAUUAGGUGUCUGCAUUUUAAUGAGCACUUGUAGCUGUAUGUAAAUACUUUAAAAUCACAGUAUAGCAGAGUUCUAAAAGUGUUAAGGGUUUUUUCUUUUGUGCUAUGUAAGAUGGAUGUGUUUUUAAUAUGGUAGAAAAGCUAGUACUUUCCUGGGCAGUAUGACAAUAUUAAAUAUGAAUUAAAGCUACUUCUGAAUUGUCUGCUCAAGUUCCACUGUGACCGCUCAGUGUUUAUUAAAUAAUUUAUUGAUAACAUCUUGAAAUCUGCCUGUGAUAAAAUAUUCAUGUAACUAAUACAGUAUUUUCAUGCUAAAACAGCAGUGAUGACUGGCCAUGUAAAAUACUUUUAGUAAACUCUUUUAAUCUAAAAUAAGUCUAGUAUUUCUAAUCACUUAGUAAUUAUUUAAAAUUUUAAUUUUCCAGAGGAUGAAAUUGUGUCCUAGCCCUGCUGUAAAAAUUGUUUUUAUAGGCAUUUACUUCAUAUGAUUUAAAAUGAAGUCCUAGAUAAUGAUUUUGCAUUUGAGUGUUUAAUUACUGAUGUCAAUACAUAAACAUCAUAACUCUACUCAGAUAAUAAUUAAACUUAAACUGGUAGUAAAGGAAGUUUAGCUUCCUGGAAAUUUUAUCUGAAACUUUUCAGUACAAACUGAACUCCACUACAAGUCUGCAUCUACUACAUGUUUGGAAGUAUCAAUAUCAGAAAUGAAACAAUUUAGUUUUAUAUAAGAAAGUUGGGCAAUAGAUAAUUUCCAUUUUUAUGCUGUGUACAUUUAGUUUUAUGGGCUUUGAAGAGUAAAGUGGUGUUUAUUCUUUUACUAGUUAGAAAAACUAUUUUGAUCUUUAGUUAUUUUUAAAUUCAUAAGAAAAGGCCUAAUACAGUUUUUGGCAUUUGCUAAUAUUUAGCAUUACAUUUAUUGCACAAACCAUAUUGUUUAAAAUCA